UCUUUCUUUUUUUUAAAUGUCUUUGUCUGGUUUGGGUAUUAUGGUCACAUAGAUUGAAAAGGGAAGUGUGUCUUUAAUUUCUAUUUUUGGAAGAACUUGUAGGAUUCACCAGUGCAGUUAUUUGGGCUUGGGCUCUUCUCUUCUUUCUUUUUUAUUAUUUAUUUUUAAAUUUACAUCUAAAUUAGUUAACAUAUACUGCAAUAAUGAUUUCAGGCAUAGAAUCCAGUGAUUCAUCCCCUACAUAUGACACCCAGUGCUCAUCCCAAAAAGUGUCCUCCUUAAUGCUCCUUGCUUAUUUAGCCCAUGCCCCCACCUGCAACCCCUACAGCAACCCUCAGUUUGUUUUCUAUAUUGAAGAGUCUUUUAUGUUUUGUCCCCCUCCCUGUUUUUAUAUUAUUUUUGUUUCCCUUCCCCUAUGUUCAUCUGUUUUUUAUCUUAAAUUCCACAUGUUAGUGAAAUAUGAUAUUUGUCUUUCUCUGACAAAUUUUGCUUAGCAUAAUAUACUCAGGUUCUAUCCAUGUUGUUGCAAAUGCCAAGAUUUCAUUCUUUUGAUCUCCAAGUAAUAUUUCAUUGUGUGUGUGUGUGUGUGUGUGUGUGUGUGUGUGCGCGCGCGCGCGCGCAUGUGUGUGUGUAUACGACAUCUUUAUUCAUUCAUCUGUUGAUGGACAUUUGGGCUCUUUCCAUACUUUGGUUGUUGUCAAUAGCACUGCUAUAAAUAUUGAGGUGCAUGUGUGCCUUUGAAACAACACACCUGUAUCCUUUGGAUAUGUACCUAGUAGGGCAAUUGCUGGGUUGUAGGGUAAUUCUAUUUUUAAUUUUUUGAAGAACCUCCAUACUGUUUUCCAGAGUGGCUGCACCAGUAUUUAUUCCCACAAGCAGUGCAAAAGGGUUCCUCUUUCUCUGAGUCCUCGUCAACAUCUUGUUGCCUGAGUUGUUAAUUUUAGCCAUUUGACUGGUGUGAGGUGGUAUUUCAUUGUGGUUUUGAUUUGUAUUUUGGGCUUGGGAUUUUCUUUGUGGAAGGUUUUUGACUACUAAUUUAAUUUCUAUAGAUGUUCUGUAGACAUCUAUUGAAUUUUGUUAGUAUGUAGUAUUCAAGUCUUCUAUUUCUUUGCUGACUUUUUCUUCUGUCCAUUAAUAAGGAGGAAGUAAUUAAAGUCCAACUUGAAUUUAUCUUGUAGGGAAGGUCUAAUAGCAACACAUUUUCUCAGUUUUUGUUUAUAUGAUGAUGUUUUAAUUUCUCCUGAAUUUUGAAGGCUAAUUUUUCUGGAUAUAGAAUCCUUGGUUGAUAAUCUUUUAAAAUUUUGACUCUCAUGCUUUCUGAUCAAAAAUCAGCUGUUAAUCUUACUGAGCUUGUCUUCUACAUGAUGAAUCCUAUUUUUAUUUUUCUUGCUUUGUUUAGGAUUCUCACUUUUUUUCUUUUUUUUUUCUAGUUUUUGACAGUUUAUGAUGUGUCUAUUAUAUUUUGGAGUUUGUCAAGCUAAUGAUUAGAAGCAUUUUUUUUUUAAUGCCCUGAACCAUUAAGUUAUCCCAGCCUUUUACAACGGUGUGUGUGUGUGUGUGUGUGUGUGUGUAGAUGCUUUCAACAACCUGGUAAGCAGUUUGUAGCUCUGCCUUAACCUUCAUUUCCUUCUUUUUGCUCAGGGACUCAAGGAGAGCCAAAGAUGAGAGGUUAAGUUCUUCUCAGGUAUUUCCUUGGCAUGCACAGAGCCCUACACAGGUGUAUGGCCUUCUCUAUGUCCAAGAAUAUGUUGGGGGUAUUUCAGAGCCUCCUGUGGACAUCUCAUUCCUCAGGUUUUUCUUUAAAGUUUUUUUGAUCAUUGCCAUUUCAGGCAGGUUGAAAUUUUAAGCAGUGGCACUGAUUUUUUUCAACAAAUGUAUUAGAGAUAAGGCUGUUCCCAAUGAGAGUCUCCAAAUUAGUUCAAAUGAAACAACAGCUGAGAAUGAGCCUUUUCUAGGAGGGUGUUAGGUCAAAUAGUAACUAUUUUCUGGAAAUGGUGCUUUUGAAAGAAUUCCAAACCCGGUUUACCACCCACUUCUUCCUGCCAGUGAUUGCUGAAUUUCACUGCUGUUAUGCUUGUAAGGCUCUUAUUUUCCAAGCUACCACAGAACUGGGCAGAUAGGCAUAGUAAUAGAAUAAAUUAAAAUGCCACAGGCUUGUUCUUACCAAGAUUCAACUGGGUUUUUUUUUUCUUUUGUUUU